rnacentral:rRNA from 1 species
ACCUCAGCUCAAGCAAGAAAACCCGCUGAACUUAAGCAUAUCAAUAAGCGGAGGAAAAGAAACUAACAAGGAUUCCCCUAGUAACGGCGAGUGAAGAGGGAAAAGCUCAAAUUUUAAAUCUACCUGGUUCCCAGGUCGAAUUGUAUUUUGAAGAAUCGAUAUUUGUGUUGAGGUCUGGUUCAAGUUCUUUGGAACAAGACAUCAUGGAGGGUGAGAAUCCCGUGCAUGAUCAGACCAAGAUACUUUAUAUUCGUUUUCUAAGAGUCGAGUUGUUUGGGAAUGCAGCUCAAAUUGGGUGGUAGACUUCACCUAAGGCUAAAUAUCAGCGAGAGACCGAUAGCGAACAAGUACUGUGAAGGAAAGAUGAAAAGCACUUUGAAAAGAGAGUUAAAUAGUACGUGAAAUUGUUGAAAGGGAAACGAUUGAAGUCAGUCAUGCUAGUGAAAAUUCAGUUUGACGGGUUUUGGGUUUAGGAGUAAGAGGUAGGGUCAAACCGUCUCUCUUUUAAACUUGGGAUUUGUCGGAUGCACUUUUUCUUUGGCAGGUCAGUGUCGAUUUCAGAGGUUGUAAAAUACUUGGGGGAAAGUAGCUCUGCUUCGGGAGAGUGUUAUAGAUCCUGGGGGAUGCAACCUGUGGGAUCGAGGAUUGCAGCAAAUGCCUUUGGCUUGUCGCCUGAUCUCUGGUUGUUACCUCAUUUAUGACAACAUUCUUGUCAUCGAUGAGUGCUAAUGGCUAUUAGGUUAGAACGAUCAAAAAUUUGCUAAGGAUGCUGGCGUAAUGGCUUUAAACGACCCGUCUUGAAACACGGACCAAGGAGUCUAACAUAUGUGCGAGUGUUUGGGUGACAAACCCGGAACGCGUAAUGAAAGUGAAUAUGGGUGGGAUCCUCCUCGUGGGGAGCACCAUCAACCGAUCAGGAUAUUUUUUGAUAGAUUUGAGUAAGAGCACAUCUGUUGGGACCCGAAAGAUGGUGAACUAUGCCUGAAUAGGGUGAAGCCAGAGGAAACUCUGGU